AUUUCAACAAGUUUUACCCCAACAUUCGAUGAUUACGACCCGUAUCAAGUUGUCCAUAUCUGCACACAAACUGUCUCCUUUUUCCAGAUCUUUGUUUUUUUUUUCUUCGAUAUACUCUUCCUUCCCAAUCGUUAUCAUCAAUGGGUGCUGCUAUAUGCAAAUUUGGUGAUUUGAUCAAGCAAUCCAUAUCCUUAGACCGCGUGUCUAGCUUUGCAAGGCUAUUUUUCGUUUCAGUAGCAGCAUUAUCCAAUGUCUCAAUCUAAGCAAAACAC
rnacentral:lncRNA from 1 species